AACGAACUCAGACAUCUUAUCAAUAGCUCGGAUUACUUGCUGCAAAGUAAGCCUCCAAGCAUCACUUGAAGCAACAUAUGGAAUUUUGCCAGAGCGCAUGUAUCUCAAAGCAGCAAAAUUAUGCAGUGAGCACAACAUCCUUGUCAGCUGGCACCAAGAUGGUUUCAUUUGCCCCAAAGGAUGUAGACCUGUUCAUGACCCUUUCAUAGUAUCUUCAUUACUUCCCCUUCCUGGUCAAGUGAAUAGAACUGGAAGUAU
rnacentral:misc_RNA from 1 species